GAUCAUGGCUCAGAUUGAACGCUGGCGGCAGGCUUAACACAUGCAAGUCGAACGGUAACAGGGGAAAGCUUGCUUUCUUGCUGACGAGCGGCGGACGGGUGAGUAAUGCUUGGGAAUCUGGCUUAUGGAGGGGGAUAACGACGGGAAACUGUCGCUAAUACCGCGUAGAAUCGAGAGAUGAAAGUGCGGGACCGCAAGGCCGCAUGCCAUGAGAUGAGCCCAAGUGGGAUUAGGUAG
rnacentral:rRNA from 1 species